CCUACGGGCGGCAGCAGUAGGGAAUAUUGCUCAAUGGGGGAAACCCUGAUGCAGCAACGCCGCGUGGAGGAUGAAGGUUUUCGGAUUGUAAACUCCUUUUGUUAGAGAAGAUGAUGACGGUAUCUAACGAAUAAGCACCGGCUAACUCCGUGCCAGCAGCCGCGGUAAUACGGAGGGUGAAAGCGUUACUGGGAAUCACUGGGCGUAAAGUGCGCGUAGGCGGUCGGUUAAGGCAGCGGUAAAAUUGCGGGGCUCAACCCCGUCGAGCCGUUGAAACUGGCAGCCUUGAGUUGGCGAGAAGUACGCGGAAUGCGAGGUGUAGCGGUGAAAUGCGUAGAGAUCGGGCAGAACUCCGAUGGCGAAGGCAGCGUACCGGCGCCAGACUGACGCUGAGGUACGAAAGCGUGGGGAUCGAACAGGAUUAGAUACCCUUGUAGUC
rnacentral:rRNA from 1 species